AGGGCCAUAUAGUAUACCUGUAUUUGAUGGGGAAAGAAACUCUGUUAGGGUGUUGGUUUGUAGCUAGGUAAGGUUUCCGAGGAAAGAAAAUGGCGUCUAACAAGGCUGGUGAUCAAUCUUCCAGCAUCUGUCUCAUUGUCAUAAGCCAGCGAAAUGGUCAGAUUUCCAGUUUGUUUUUUUCACUCCUUCGCAAGAAGCGUCAUUUGUAGGCAACUUCCUCUAGAUGGAAAUGAAGUGCAUGUCAAGAUCAGACGUGGCACGAAAAUAAAGAAGCUUUUGACUGCUUACUGCCGUCGUUAUUUUUUGACUUAUAACACCGUUCAAUUUUUGAUCGAUGGUUGUCCGUUUGCUGAUGAUAAGA